rnacentral:lncRNA from 10 species
AGGAUUACAGGUGUGAACCACCGUGCCCGGCCCUACUUUCUAUCGAAGUAGAAUAGAAGCACUGAGACCACAGAGGCAAGAGCUGGGGAAGGAAAACUGCCCAUGAGAUGAGAUGUGCCUCUCAGCUUCCAAAAUCGGGGAGGGUUGCAAAGGGAUGACACCAUCCACACCAGAACUGCAUGAAUGGCAUCAGGAAUGAUCAGAGACCAUAAAUUCCAGUGAGACCAAUAACACCAUUUCUGGUCCUGCAUGCUCUUCCAAACUUUGCCACUAACCCCUUCAAGAGGUUAGAAAAGGCAACAGAACUUCAUCCUAAUCUCUCUCAAGAUGCCCCCCAUGGAAUCCAGCCAUCAUGCUGUGAGGAAUCCAAGCAGCUACAUAGAAAGGCCACAACUAGAUAUUCCAGCUGUAGUCAGCUGAAGCUCCAGCCAACAGCCAACAUCAACCACCACACGUGAAAACGAGCAAGCCUUCAGAUGAUUCCGACUCCCAACCUCCAAGCCACCUCAGCUGAAGCCAAGUAGAGCAGAGACUAGCUGUCCCCCAAUGCUCUAAUAUGCAGAUUCAUAAUUAAAAAGAAUGUUAUUGUUCUAA